GCGAUAAUGACGGUACCUGCAGAAGAAGCACCGGCUAACUACGUGCCAGCAGCCGCGGUAAUACGUAGGGUGCAAGCGUUAUUCGGAAUUACUGGGCGUAAAGCGUGCGUAGGCGGUUUUUCAAGUCAGGUGUGAAAUCCCCGGGCUCAACUCGGGAACUGCAUUUGAUACUGCCAGGCUAGAGUUCGGCAGAGGAGAGUGGAAUUCCUGGUGUAGCGGUGAAAUGCGUAGAUAUCAGGAGGAACACCGGUGGCGAAGGC
rnacentral:rRNA from 1 species